rnacentral:rRNA from 1 species
CCUACGGGGGGCUGCAGUGGGGAAUAUUGGACAAUGGGGGCAACCCUGAUCCAGCGACGCCGCGUGUGUGAAGAAGGCCUGCGGGUUGUAAAGCACUUUUAGUGGGGACAAAAAGCCGAGGGCUAAUACCUUUCGGUCUUGAUUUAACCCAAAGAAAAAGCACCGGCUAACUCUGUGCCAGCAGCCGCGGUAAUACAGAGGGUGCAAGCGUUAAUCGGAAUUACUGGGCGUAAAGCGUGCGCAGUCGGUUAUUUAAGUCGGAUGUGAAAUCCCCGGGCUCAACCUGGGAAUUGCAUUCGAUACUGGAUAGCUAGAGUUCGGCAGAGGGAAGCGGAAUUUCGGGUGUAGCGGUGAAAUGCGUAGAUAUCCGAAGGAACAUCAGUGGCGAAAGCGGCUUCCUGGACCAGAACUGACGCUCAGGCACGAAAGCGUGGGGAGCAAACAGGAUUAGAUACCCUGGUAGUC